GUUUGGGUCUCGUCCUCGCUUACAACGUUUCUGACAUCUACGACAGAAGAACUUCCGUUAUCCAGCUCAUAUGUGAUGUGAAUGAAGAAGGCUCGUUCAAAGUUGUCGAAGACGAACCAAGCCAACAAUACAACUUCAUCCUAAGAAGUAAGCACUGCUGUCCCAAGACGCAAUCUAAACGGUCUACCUGAACUAUUCUCGUGGGAAUAAACUGCAGUCUUCACGCUU